rnacentral:lncRNA from 1 species
CUGGAGAACCUUAUUUGUGGCGGUCGCUGUUGUGCAGGUAGUUUGCCUUGAAAGCCUGUGACUUCACAUAUUAAGAAUGUCCUCCCUCCCCAACGACGGACUUCCUUGCUCUUCUGUCUUAUUUGUGUAAUUGGUGCCUAGAGAGGAUUUCCAAAAUCAUCCCCCCAAAUUGAAGUGCCAGAGGGAGUAUAGCCAAGGAACUGGCUCCUUCUCCAGGUCAUGAUGCUGGCCUGGUGUCCUCCAGCUCAGAGAUGGAAGGGAUGGAAGGCAGCAAAUGGAAGGCACAGGUGCUGGUCUAGCUCAGGCGUGGGAAGUAGUCAGGAUAACUUACCUCUCUAGGCAUUAGUUUCCUGAUCUGUAAAAAUAAUGUCCAAGGUCAUAUCCCAGUAAACUUUUAAGCGUGACCAUGUCUGGAAUAAGUUCAGGGAAUGUGGGGGCUCCUAGGAACAGCUAUAGGUCUGAUCUUGGCUUUGAGCUCUCUUGAGUGUAUGGGAUUGAGGCUGUGGGGACUGUGUCCUCUACCUAACCCAGGGCUCAAGCUCCGUUCACUCUGGAGCCAGUCUCGGAAUCACCUUGACAUUUUGAGGGCCUUUCAGUGGAUUUCUAAGUCACAUUCCCUGGCCUGAUAGAAAGGCAAGCCAGGAGCAACGGCACACACCUGUCAUCCCAGCAACUUGGGCGCCUGAGGCUGGAGGGUCGCAAGUUGGAGGUCAGCCAGGGCAACUUAUUGAGUAUCUAUCUCAAAAUUAAAAAUAGAAAGGGCUGGGAAUGAAUCUCAGUGGUGAAACACCCCUGGGUUCAAUCCCCAUUAAUAAAAAGAGAAGAGACCGCAGCCACCAGGGACCAUCCUGGAACUAGAAAAAUCUAAGGGAACAAGGGGAGAGGGAAUCUCAAGAGGAGAGGGGAAAGGGCGAAUUCCUGAUAGCACAGCAGAUACUUUCACAGCAGUCUUCUUGUAAUGGGGCUUCCGUUUGUCCAAUACCCCCUGCCCCCCGCCAAAAAGCUGUCUGUCUCUCCCCUCCCCACUUCCCAUAGAAAUCACAGUUCCUCUACCUUUUGGCAUUAUCUCCCAUGUCUCAAAUGUAAUCAACUUCUCUCUCUCUCUCUCUCUCUCUCUCUCUCUCUCUCUCUCUCUCUCUCUCUGUCCAUCUUGGCAGUGAACCCCUGGGCUCAACUCUACUGAAGUUACAUGAGUCCUAUGGUUCAGAGAGAGAACCUGAGUCAGCAGAGCUACCCCGACUCGGCACCCCAGGUUAGCCACAAUGGGACCAAUCCUCUAGUCCUUCCUUUGGCCUAAUUCCCACUGAAAUCCAAUGCCCAGGAAGAACUACAGGCCUUAUACAUACAGUUAUGAACAAAGGUUUUUAAAAGGCUUGAGGGCAAGAAAUGGGAAUCUGCAUCUCUCUCUCAGCAAUCACCCUGUGCUUAUUAUUAUAACAGCCCAAUUAUCCAUGCAUCUGCUCACAAGGCGGGGGCAGGGCAGCAGGGCCACUCUGGCCUGCGCCCUCUCUUUGGCCCGACCCUCUCCUGGCAGAUGGGAUCAGCCCACGUCUCAUCAGGAGCGAGAGAGGAGAAAUGAGAAAUGGAGAGUCAGAAGGAUUUAAUAUGUCCAUCAACCCCUCCUACUCACUCUCCACUACCUUGUGUGUUUAUUAGUUAGCAUUUUAUGUGGUAAGUUAUCCUGAACAAAUACUAUUAUGGGAUUGAAAAGGGAAACCAAAAGGUAUUUAAAAAUGCCGAGUCAUGGAGGAAGCUUGAAAGGAAUGAUGGGAGUAGAUUUAGAGACCGGGGAGAAAUUAUGUCUCUGGACAUUAACGUUGGAUAUUCUGGAGACUGAUUCCCCCAAAUGAUAACUCUUUAUUCUAAGAAUAAAGGACCCAAAGGACAUGAGGUAGAAAUGGUAAACUUGCUAAUGAUUUACAGGGGUGCUCCACCCUGGCUGUCCAUGAGAAAUGCUUGGGGAAUAAAAAUUAGUCAUGAGGGGACCCACCCCUCAAAGGAGGAUUCCUGGAUGGUGGGGCUCAGGCAUUAAUAUUUUUAAAGGCUCCCCAGAUGAUUUUGAUACACAGGGAAGGCAAAGAAGACCAAAAGACAGUCAGCACUGUUUUCUUCAAUAAAGAAGGAAGUUGGGAGAUGCCCAAAGCAGAAAAGAAACCAUUUGUGGUUUUAAAUACAUGAUACCAAUUUAAUAUAAUACUGACUUUAGUAGCAACUAACACUUUGUGCACUAAGCACUUUACUUGCAUAAAUUCAUGUAAUUCUGAUAAUAAUCUAGGAAGAACACAUAAUUAUUGGCCCCAUUUUACAAAUAAGGGCACCAAGGCUUAGGGAGAUGUAGUAACUUGACCAAAGCCAACAUAUUGACUCUAAUGUGUAACAGGCACAUAAACGUAGAUAGCAUGGAAAAUGCCAAGAUAAGCAAGACACAGGCCGACUCUCAAGUUGCUACCUUGGAGUAGAGGAGCAAAUAAAUGACGAAAAGUCCAAAGUACAAUAUGACAACCGCAUAGAGUUACAAAACAUGCAGGAACCACAGGACAGGGAGAAGGAGCAAAGGCUCUGGGGGAGUGGAGUCAAAUAGGAAGAUAAGCUGCAGAUUCUGCCAGGCGAUGAAGGCCGCAGGGUAGCAGCAGAAGGAGGAGGUCCCAGGGAGAAUGCAUAGUGUACAGAAACACAAGAAAGAGCUGAAAACUGGCAAACGGCCCAGUGCACUGAAGAUUUUUUUUUUUUUAAAAGGCAUAAGGCUGGGGAGGAAGUUUCCCUGAACUGUGGGAGUUUUAAUAGGAUCUUGAAGGUACAGGAUAUGCACAGGUAUCCAAACAGGGGGUGCCAUGGCACAGUGAGUGUUUCAGGAGAUCUUCCAUAGGAAGGCGAAGCAAUCCCAGGCCACCAGGCUUGGAUCUCAGUGAAUGCAAGGAGGACAGAAGAACUAAGGCACCUGGGAAAUAUUUUGCAUCCAGCUCUGAUGCUUGAUCUUGCACUGAGUUAUUAUUCUAUGUAAGAGCCACAGCCCUGGCCUGGCUAGAACUACCCUGAUAAAUCCAUCUUUCUCCAGUGACUGUGGUUGCUGCUAUAGUUUCUAGGGUAAAAGAGGGUGUGUAGUUAUAUUCUCUACAUAUUUUAGAUUUCUGUUGCUUUUAGACUUUGUACUUUUUCUCAGUGUCUAUGAGGACACAUGAUAUUUGAUUUUUCCCAUCAAAAAUGAAAUGAAGAGAAUGAAAACACAGGGUGAUGGCUAGGGAUGACUUCUUUAUAUUUUUCAUAUGGUAGAGUAUUUCUUACUUUCCGCUGCAGAACUUCCACUAGGACCUGGGACUCUGGGGGUGUCACAGUUUGGCUAAUGAAAAAUAUAUUUACUAGCAACUUUAUGUUUUAUCUUUAAAAUUCAUGUAAAUUCUAUAAUCCUGUGAUAUAUCCAGACUUUCCUGUUAUGACAUACCUGGUUUAUCCCAUGACUUUGUAGGAACUUCUGGCUCCCCACCAUGGAUUGCCCUUUGUCAAAAGACCAUCCUGAUAAUUUCAGCGUAGGACUGCAUUUUUUACUUGAACAUGAGUCACUUGAAAGGCUGCUUUAAGUUAUCUAUUUCACUAUAAUCAAAGAAAACAGCUUGUAAACCUUAUUUGCUCUUUUUUCCUCUUCCGCACAGGCUAACGUAGACAUUAACGUAUAUGUCAUCGUGCCACUUGGUGAAAAAAUGCUCUUCAAUUAAAGACCCCCUUUGUUUACAAGGUCAGUAAAGAUAUGACGAAUCUAUUAAAAGUCUAAUCACCUUCUCCACUGUGCAAAAUCUACGCAGGGGAAAGACCAGAGGGGAAGGAGAGUUUCAGAAAAAGAAGUCGACUUGGACAUUUGACCAAUAUAGAGUGACAGCAGGAAGACAUCCUUGAUCUUCAUGAAAAGUAGGUACCCUCUGUAGAUCUUCAUCUUCAUGCACAAUGACACCUCCUGCUCCAAAAGCUCAUGGCCCCCCAGGUAUAUUUGCUGUUGCUUCUCUCCUUUCCAAGGUUCUGGCUUCCUUUCAAGCCAUUAGAUUCUCACAUCUAACACCUUCUUCUCAGCCAGCUUUUCUGUGGCUUUUCUUCCUUAUGGGCCUUUCAUAGCUCAUUCGCUGCUUCUUUUUGUUCUUUUUGGCACUGGGGGUUGAACCAGGAGUCUUUACCACUGAGCUACAUCUCUGGUUCUUUUAAUUUUUUUUUUUUUUUUAAAUUUUGAGACCCAAUCUUGCUAAGUUGCUUAGGGCCUUGCUCAGUUGCUGAGGUUGGCCUUGAACUUGCAAUCCUCUGCCUCGGCCUCCUGAGCUACUGGAAUUACAGGUGUGCACUACUGCACCCUUGAGCUUAUAGCUCACUCAUUUCUAUUUUUUGUUUAAUGUUAGGGAUUGGUCCCAGGGCUUUGUGCAUGCUAAACAUGCUCUCCAUCACUGACCUACACCCUUAACACCUUUAUCCCAUCUUGAUAAAGCACUUAGUAGAGUCCAUCUUCUCACCCCAUCUGUUGCUUCUCAGAUUUCUCCAGCGAUGUUGCCUCUGUAGUGGACAGUUAAUGCCAGGAUUCCCCAAAUCCUGCCCUUUUCCACUUGGACUCUCCAGUUACUGCAGUGGGCUCACUCUCCAUGGCAAGAUUGUGUUUGGCAGGGCUUGCCCUUCCCUGGGCUCCUCACCACCAGAGCACUCCUGCCCUGAUAUCAGUCCAAUGACCAGACACCACAGUCGGUUGUGGAAUAGGUGGUGUUCAUUCUAAAUAUUACAAUUGCUGGCCCAAUCCAUUUUCUUUCCUGCUCAAGCCAAACUACAACAGAUAAAAUGUAUUAGCCACUUGUUAAAUAUUUCUUGACUCUGAUAUGCCUCUAUCAGAGACCUGUAUUCAUGAAAACACUCAUAGAUGAGCCAAGAAGACAACAUUGUAUGGCAACUACCGCAUUCUCCUAUCCUUCCAUGCACUUCCUGUUUAUUGCUUAGGACUUGAUCAACCUGUAUCUAUUACUGCCUGGGGCACAUCAGAGUCACCCAAAAUCCUGUUAGAUGACUAUGUUGAAAGAGUUGCUCCUGCAUAGGAUGGGGGACAAAUUUUGGACCCCUGAGUGGCACGGUUGUCCUANAGGCUUGAGGGCAAGAAAUGGGAAUCUGCAUCUCUCUCUCAGCAAUCACCCUGUGCUUAUUAUUAUAAUAGCCCAAUUAUCCAUGCAUCUGCUCACAAGGCGGGGGCAGGGCAGCAGGGCCACUCUGGCCUGCGCCCUCUCUUUGGCCCGACCCUCUCCUGGCAGAUGGGAUCAGCCCACGUCUCAUCAGGAGCGAGAGAGGAGAAAUGAGAAAUGGAGAGUCAGAAGGAUUUAAUAUGUCCAUCAACCCCUCCUACUCACUCUCCACUACCUUGUGUGUUUAUUAGUUAGCAUUUUAUGUGGUAAGUUAUCCUGAACAAAUACUAUUAUGGGAUUGAAAAGGGAAACCAAAAGGUAUUUAAAAAUGCCGAGUCAUGGAGGAAGCUUGAAAGGAAUGAUGGGAGUAGAUUUAGAGACCGGGGAGAAAUUAUGUCUCUGGACAUUAACGUUGGAUAUUCUGGAGACUGAUUCCCCCAAAUGAUAACUCUUUAUUCUAAGAAUAAAGGACCCAAAGGACAUGAGGUAGAAAUGGUAAACUUGCUAAUGAUUUACAGGGGUGCUCCACCCUGGCUGUCCAUGAGAAAUGCUUGGGGAAUAAAAAUUAGUCAUGAGGGGACCCACCCCUCAAAGGAGGAUUCCUGGAUGGUGGGGCUCAGGCAUUAAUAUUUUUAAAGGCUCCCCAGAUGAUUUUGAUACACAGGGAAGGCAAAGAAGACCAAAAGACAGUCAGCACUGUUUUCUUCAAUAAAGAAGGAAGUUGGGAGAUGCCCAAAGCAGAAAAGAAACCAUUUGUGGUUUUAAAUACAUGAUACCAAUUUAAUAUAAUACUGACUUUAGUAGCAACUAACACUUUGUGCACUAAGCACUUUACUUGCAUAAAUUCAUGUAAUUCUGAUAAUAAUCUAGGAAGAACACAUAAUUAUUGGCCCCAUUUUACAAAUAAGGGCACCAAGGCUUAGGGAGAUGUAGUAACUUGACCAAAGCCAACAUAUUGACUCUAAUGUGUAACAGGCACAUAAACGUAGAUAGCAUGGAAAAUGCCAAGAUAAGCAAGACACAGGCCGACUCUCAAGUUGCUACCUUGGAGUAGAGGAGCAAAUAAAUGACGAAAAGUCCAAAGUACAAUAUGACAACCGCAUAGAGUUACAAAACAUGCAGGAACCACAGGACAGGGAGAAGGAGCAAAGGCUCUGGGGGAGUGGAGUCAAAUAGGAAGAUAAGCUGCAGAUUCUGCCAGGCGAUGAAGGCCGCAGGGUAGCAGCAGAAGGAGGAGGUCCCAGGGAGAAUGCAUAGUGUACAGAAACACAAGAAAGAGCUGAAAACUGGCAAACGGCCCAGUGCACUGAAGAUUUUUUUUUUUUUAAAAGGCAUAAGGCUGGGGAGGAAGUUUCCCUGAACUGUGGGAGUUUUAAUAGGAUCUUGAAGGUACAGGAUAUGCACAGGUAUCCAAACAGGGGGUGCCAUGGCACAGUGAGUGUUUCAGGAGAUCUUCCAUAGGAAGGCGAAGCAAUCCCAGGCCACCAGGCUUGGAUCUCAGUGAAUGCAAGGAGGACAGAAGAACUAAGGCACCUGGGAAAUAUUUUGCAUCCAGCUCUGAUGCUUGAUCUUGCACUGAGUUAUUAUUCUAUGUAAGAGCCACAGCCCUGGCCUGGCUAGAACUACCCUGAUAAAUCCAUCUUUCUCCAGUGACUGUGGUUGCUGCUAUAGUUUCUAGGGUAAAAGAGGGUGUGUAGUUAUAUUCUCUACAUAUUUUAGAUUUCUGUUGCUUUUAGACUUUGUACUUUUUCUCAGUGUCUAUGAGGACACAUGAUAUUUGAUUUUUCCCAUCAAAAAUGAAAUGAAGAGAAUGAAAACACAGGGUGAUGGCUAGGGAUGACUUCUUUAUAUUUUUCAUAUGGUAGAGUAUUUCUUACUUUCCGCUGCAGAACUUCCACUAGGACCUGGGACUCUGGGGGUGUCACAGUUUGGCUAAUGAAAAAUAUAUUUACUAGCAACUUUAUGUUUUAUCUUUAAAAUUCAUGUAAAUUCUAUAAUCCUGUGAUAUAUCCAGACUUUCCUGUUAUGACAUACCUGGUUUAUCCCAUGACUUUGUAGGAACUUCUGGCUCCCCACCAUGGAUUGCCCUUUGUCAAAAGACCAUCCUGAUAAUUUCAGCGUAGGACUGCAUUUUUUACUUGAACAUGAGUCACUUGAAAGGCUGCUUUAAGUUAUCUAUUUCACUAUAAUCAAAGAAAACAGCUUGUAAACCUUAUUUGCUCUUUUUUCCUCUUCCGCACAGGCUAACGUAGACAUUAACGUAUAUGUCAUCGUGCCACUUGGUGAAAAAAUGCUCUUCAAUUAAAGACCCCCUUUGUUUACAAGGUCAGUAAAGAUAUGACGAAUCUAUUAAAAGUCUAAUCACCUUCUCCACUGUGCAAAAUCUACGCAGGGGAAAGACCAGAGGGGAAGGAGAGUUUCAGAAAAAGAAGUCGACUUGGACAUUUGACCAAUAUAGAGUGACAGCAGGAAGACAUCCUUGAUCUUCAUGAAAAGUAGGUACCCUCUGUAGAUCUUCAUCUUCAUGCACAAUGACACCUCCUGCUCCAAAAGCUCAUGGCCCCCCAGGUAUAUUUGCUGUUGCUUCUCUCCUUUCCAAGGUUCUGGCUUCCUUUCAAGCCAUUAGAUUCUCACAUCUAACACCUUCUUCUCAGCCAGCUUUUCUGUGGCUUUUCUUCCUUAUGGGCCUUUCAUAGCUCAUUCGCUGCUUCUUUUUGUUCUUUUUGGCACUGGGGGUUGAACCAGGAGUCUUUACCACUGAGCUACAUCUCUGGUUCUUUUAAUUUUUUUUUUUUUUUUAAAUUUUGAGACCCAAUCUUGCUAAGUUGCUUAGGGCCUUGCUCAGUUGCUGAGGUUGGCCUUGAACUUGCAAUCCUCUGCCUCGGCCUCCUGAGCUACUGGAAUUACAGGUGUGCACUACUGCACCCUUGAGCUUAUAGCUCACUCAUUUCUAUUUUUUGUUUAAUGUUAGGGAUUGGUCCCAGGGCUUUGUGCAUGCUAAACAUGCUCUCCAUCACUGACCUACACCCUUAACACCUUUAUCCCAUCUUGAUAAAGCACUUAGUAGAGUCCAUCUUCUCACCCCAUCUGUUGCUUCUCAGAUUUCUCCAGCGAUGUUGCCUCUGUAGUGGACAGUUAAUGCCAGGAUUCCCCAAAUCCUGCCCUUUUCCACUUGGACUCUCCAGUUACUGCAGUGGGCUCACUCUCCAUGGCAAGAUUGUGUUUGGCAGGGCUUGCCCUUCCCUGGGCUCCUCACCACCAGAGCACUCCUGCCCUGAUAUCAGUCCAAUGACCAGACACCACAGUCGGUUGUGGAAUAGGUGGUGUUCAUUCUAAAUAUUACAAUUGCUGGCCCAAUCCAUUUUCUUUCCUGCUCAAGCCAAACUACAACAGAUAAAAUGUAUUAGCCACUUGUUAAAUAUUUCUUGACUCUGAUAUGCCUCUAUCAGAGACCUGUAUUCAUGAAAACACUCAUAGAUGAGCCAAGAAGACAACAUUGUAUGGCAACUACCGCAUUCUCCUAUCCUUCCAUGCACUUCCUGUUUAUUGCUUAGGACUUGAUCAACCUGUAUCUAUUACUGCCUGGGGCACAUCAGAGUCACCCAAAAUCCUGUUAGAUGACUAUGUUGAAAGAGUUGCUCCUGCAUAGGAUGGGGGACAAAUUUUGGACCCCUGAGUGGCACGGUUGUCCUACCCCAAGGAAUUGGGAAGCAACUGGAAGGAGGGCAAAAGGGAAAGUAUGUCUGGUCAGAAAUACACGCACAAGGAGUCUCAACUGGAAAGUUUACAGUGAGGGAAGAAACACUGAAGAGAACUGUAAUCCCUUGAAACUGCCUGAACCUAAUACAAGGGACACUUUCAGGGGACACGUUGGGAAGAGUUGAAGCCACAAUUGGAUUUGUUACCUGAAGUCAGGGUUGGAUACAGGAAAAUGGUUGAGCAGAAGCAAAAGGGAAACAUGAGAAGAGCUCAGGACUUGGGGAGAAGAGAAGUGCCGCAGUCAGGCUGGGCACAAAUAACCGGGAGGUCAAGCCACUUGUAGAUUCAAGCAGGAAUGAACUUUAUUUUCAAACUCACACAAACGCCACCCACGCAACCCUCCAGAAACUCUGCGCGCUCUCAACCGGAACUCAACCAACCACGCGAACUCUCUAGGAACCUCGCGAGAGCUCAACCGGAACUCAACAGGAACUCCGCGAGAACUCAAAAAUAGCGGGCACCAGAGACAGCAGGAACCGCCUCCUUCUGGCAAAAUGCCAGGCACCAUCUUGACCUGGCCGUGGCUCUCAACAGAGAAGGAGGAAUAAACUCUUAAGGUCAACUCAAACAAGAACCAAAGACCCAAGUGUUGGGUGGGUAGAGGUCGACCACGUACCUUGGUCAAGUCCCUCAUUUCCUUGCUGGAGGGGUGGAAAUCUUUUCAAGGAGAGGAUCUUGGCACCGACCACAGGCUGCUAGGUCAAGCAGUGACAGCAGAGAGGUUACAAACUGCCCUGGUGUGCUGGCUUCCCUGUGGAGAGAGCGACAUAAGCACAGAUCCUGGCUAGUAGGGUUUUCUCCGGACUCCACGCCCACCAGGUCCCAGAGUUUCUGCUCACAACAGCGGAAAACAAUUACCAAAGAUACAAGGUGAGGAUGCUGUAUUAUUUAUACACCGACUGCCCACCUCUAGACUUUCCAGACAGCAACGUCAGUGUUUUCUACCCAACAAUAAAAAUUUGUGAAUGGCCAUUUAUUUGCAGAAAUAAACAUAAUCUCAAAAGGACUGUACCCAAUGAAACUCUUGUUACUGGGUUCCAUGACUUUUCUGAAAGGGCCAAUUAAAUGCAUCACGCAGGGAAAGCCACUUAGAACAGACCCUGUCAAAUGUUCUUCAUGAAAAGGGACCUGGAGUCAUAGUACAAAGACUUCCUUGGGAGGCCAGGCCUUCCCUGAUGCUUAUCUGAAAGACUCACCAUUCUCUACAUGUGAAUGAGAUUUCUUGUUGUCAUGGUUACAGUUAACAGUAAUUCAAUUCAACAUAAUGACAUAUAUAUGCAUCAAUGGUGACAUCAGAGUUGACCCCUCUGUGUCUGAAAAGAAGCUCUGAUGCCUGUCUUUGGACGUCCCAGGAGGGCACUCUGCAGCCCUACGUAGCCUUGGGCUUCUAUGCAUUCCUCUCCUUCACAGUUAUUGAAAUCUACUAUGUGGCAGGUCCUCUGCUGGACCUAGAGAUACUGUAAUAAAUACCUCAAUGACUAAGGAAAUUGGAAUUUGGAUGUAAAAAACAAGACCAAGUAGUCUACCACACAGGAUAAUGGUGUCAAGUAAAGGAAGGCACUGCAGAGGCCCACUCCAAAUGAACCGCUCGGGUUCAUUUAGUUAUGAAAAAUGGCAUGCAUUUCUUUCCUAUAGUGUCCCAGUGAACUACUACAUUAGUGACUUAAAAUAACCAAAAUGUGUACAUUAGAAUUCUGAUGAGGGUCUCAAAGGGCUUAAAUCAAAGUGUUGAUAGCCCUGUGUUCCUUUUUGGAGACUCCAGGGGGAAAAAAAAUUCCAGUUUUUAAAGGCAGCCCACAUUCCUUGGCUCCUGGCCCCUUCC